GACGAACGCUGGCGGCGUGCCUAAUACAUGCAAGUAGGACGCAGUUGCGAACGGGUGAGUAACGCGUAGUUACCUAACUAUGAGAGGGGGGUAACUAACGGAAACGAUAGCUAAUACCGCAUACUAGUAGAAGGACCUGCGUUGUAUUAGCUUGUAGGUUGGGUAAUGGCCUACCUCGGCAACGAUAAGUAGCCGACCUGAGAGGGUGAUCGGCCACACGGGGACGGAUACACGGCCCAGACUCCUACGGGAGGCAGCAGUAGGGAAUCUUCGGCAAUGGGGGGAAGCCUGACCGAGCAACGCCGCGUGAGUGAUGAGGGUUUUCGGGUCGUAAAGCUCUGUUGUUAGGGAAGCGGUACUUGACCAGAAAGGGACGGCUAACUACGUGCCAGCCGCCGCGGUAAUAC
rnacentral:rRNA from 1 species